CGGCGGACGGGUGAGUAACGCGUGGGUAACCUACCCUGUACACACGGAUAACAUACCGAAAGGUAUGCUAAUACGGGAUAAUAUAUUUGAGAGGCAUCUCUUGAAUAUCAAAGGUGAGCCAGUACAGGAUGGACCCGCGUCUGGUUAGCUAGUUGGUAAGGUAACGGCUUACCAAGGCGACGAUCAGUAGCCGACCUGAGAGGGUGAUCGGCCACAUUGGAACUGAGACACGGUCCAA
rnacentral:rRNA from 1 species